rnacentral:lncRNA from 1 species
GGUGGGUGGGUGCAUGUGCAUGUGAGCAGAGUGGCAUAGUGUAUUAUGGGGUAAAACUCUGGGCCUGAACUUAAUAAAACAGUGACACCAUAAACUACACAACCAGCUACUGUACAACACUGCCAUCUACUGUGUGUGUAUGUGCUGGUGUUACUAUCCUCAUGGGAUACCUGAAAUCCCCACAAGGAAAAAUCUCCCUCAUGGGGACAUUUCCCAGGGCCACACUAGGACAAAGGCUAUUUUAGGCUUAGGGGUUAUGAUUACAAUUAAAGUUAGGGUUUAGGAGUUAGGGUUUAGUUUAGGGUUAGGAGUUAGGGUUUAGGAGUUAGGGUUUAGUUUAGGGUUAUGAGUUAGGGUUUAGGAGUUAGGGUUUAGUUUAGGGUUAGGAGUUAGGGGUUAGGAGUUAGGGUUUAGGAGUUAGGGUUUAGUUUAGGUUUAGGAGUUAGGGUUUAGGAGUUAGGGUUUAGUUUAUGGUUAGGAGUUAGGGUUUAGGAGUUAGGGUUUAGUUUAGGGUUAGGAGUUAGGGUUUAGUUUAGAUGUAGGGGUUAGUUUAGAGUUUAGUUUAGGGUUAGGGUUAAGGAAAAUAGGAUUUUGAAUGGAAAUCAAUUUUAGGUCCCCACAAGGAUAAUAAUACCAAACGUGUGUGUCUGUGUUUUAUUUCAUGUUUAAUCCCCUCCAAACUCAACUAACUCCUCCCAGUCUGGUCUAGAUAGUACAUCAGGGGUCAGAGGUUAGACAAGGAAGUGUACAUCAGGGGUCAGAGGUUAGACAAGGAAGUGUACAGCAGGGGUUAGAGGUUAGACAAGGAAGUGUACAGCAGGGGUUAGAGGUUAGACAAGGAAGUGUACAUCAGGGGUUAGAGGUUAGACAAGGAAGUGUACAUCAGGGGUUAGAGGUUAGACAAGGAAGUGUACAGCAGGGGUUAGAGGUUAGACAAGGAAGUGUACAGCAGGGGUUAGAGGUUAGACAAGGAAGUGUACAUCAGGGGUUAGAGGUUAGACAAGGAAGUGUACAGGGGGUGUUUUGCAGCUGGCCCGCUGGGUCAGGGGCGACCUCCAACAUGGAAACACGUUACAAUCUAACAAAUGGAAGGGCCACACUUAUCAUCAACAAUGUCACCAAGGAGGAUGCUGGGAACUACACCUGUAAGGCAUACAUCAUACACCAGGAUCCCUCCAAUAGGGUGGAGGGAGAGCUACAGGUUGCAUGGGUUUAUAUAUAUGGUGAAAAACCGGUGCUUUAAAUGCAUGGGGAGAAGUGUAGGAGUAGCACUCUUUGGGAGAAAGGUCGAGAAUUAAGAUAGAUGGACAGCCACAUGAUAUUUAGCAACAUUAAUUGGACUGAAUUGUUUUUGGUAUCUUUAAGUUUGUUUUCAGUGUAUUAAACUAAGUUCAUAUAGCCUAGUUUAUUUAUUUGAUGAUGUUUAAAUGUUUAAAUUGAAAUGGUGCUGGAAUAACGGAGGCAGCUCCUGUUGUCUUUGUGCUGACUUGAGGUAACUCUGUGGGUCUGAAUUAGUAUUUGUUUAGUAAAACUCUCAAAAACAUGAACUUGCUUGACCAUACUGCAGGUCAUUUAACUGUUUGUAUAUGCAAUAUUUGCUUUGUGGACUUCACCAGACAGAUGUCACCAGACAAACAUCAUGCCCCUCCCCUGACAAUCCCACUUACAGUGAUUGAUUGACAGGCCAAACUUUUAAAGGGAUAGUUCACCCAAAUUACAAAACGACACAUUGGCUCUCCACAGCAGGAGAGAAAAUAAAAUAAAUAUUUUGAAAAACAAACAUUGUGGCGUUUCAUAUCUUGCAGUAAAACUGUAAAUAUGACUUUAAUAUCAAGAGAAGACAGGUUUAAUGGUACCAAAAGGUUAUCAUAUAGGCCUAGGACUAGAUCAUAUCCAAAACAACUAACAACACUGAAUUCAUACAUUUUCUGUCAUUUUAAUUGUAAAGUCAUGUCUUUCUACUCAAUACCACAACAAAUGCU